rnacentral:rRNA from 1 species
CGUAGGGUGCGAGCGUUAAUCGGAAUUACUGGGCGUAAAGCGUGCGCAGGCGGUUUUGUAAGACAGGCGUGAAAUCCCCGGGCUCAACCUGGGAACUGCGCUUGUGACUGCAAGGCUAGAGUACGGCAGAGGGGGUGGAAUUCCACGUGUAGCAGUGAAAUGCGUAGAGAUGUGGAGGAACACCAAUGGCGAAGGCAGCCCCCUGGGUCGAUACUGACGCUCAUGCACGAAAGCGUGGGUAGCAAACAGGAUUAGAUACCCUGGUAGUCCACGCCCUAAACGAUGUCAACUAGGUGUUGGGUGGGUAAAACCAUUUAGUACCGGAGCUAACGCGUGAAGUUGACCGCCUGGGGAUACGGCCGCAAGGUUA